GAAUGCGUAGCUCAGUUGGUUAGAGCAGAAUCCUUAUAAGGUUCAGGUCACGGGUUCAAUUCCCGUCGCAUUCA
rnacentral:tRNA from 1 species